AUUGAUGAGAUUUACUGAAGGACUUGAAAUAGAAGGAGUCAAGCUUCGUUCUAAAAUAAUCAAGAAAAUCCUUGUCACCAAGAAAGAAUUUUGUCAGAAUGUGGAAGUAACUGAGUUUGUACUCCCAAAAACUGUCCAAUAUCCUAUCAACAUUCACCAAGCAGCAAAAAUUUCUAUCUCUGAAGUUGCACGGGCAUUUACUCACAAUUAUCCCAUUGUAAUUGAUUUAAAGCAAAAGAAUCAUCUUUUAUCAAAACUUCUCUAUUAUGAGCCUCCCCUUGAUAGCAAGUCCAUUGAGUACUUGUGGUCUGAAACGGAUGAGCAAAAAGAAGUUUCAUCUGAACUAUUGUUAAAUAUCUCUCAAUCACUUGAGAAACCAACUCAUAAAGAAAUGAGAGAACGGGGAAAAGAACUCAUUGAACAAAUUGAUUCUUAUCUAAAUCGAGAUAAGAUGUCUUAUGAGGCACUGAGAAAACUUAUUGGCAGUUUUAGUAUCUUUGGCGAUCGGAACCCUUUGAAAUUAGCCUCAGUGAAAGAACAUUACCCGGAGAUGUACGACGAAGAAUCCCCCAAUAUUAAUGCUCCCAGCUUCAGUAUAGUCACACAAAGGCUGCAGGACCACAACAUAGGAGCUGAUAACCCUCUGCAAAGCCUACCUCCACAUUCAAUAGUGAGCCAGGAUUCUCAAAUAACCAAUGUGAUUACAAUUCGAACGGUCACUGAAAAGAUUGGCUCUUCUGUUGUGUCUCUCCCAACUAGUGCACCUGUAACGUACAAUACCUCAGGACCUUGUAAGGUGACUGUGAAUGAGCUAAAGAAGGAAUUCAAUAUUAGCGAUGAUCAACUUGGCAAUAGAGUCGAAAAAUCCGACAUUAAGAACUUGGCUUCUUUUUUUGGUGAUGUAGAACUCUAUCUCCCGGGCUUAGGUCUGUGUGAAGCAGAUGAGGCAGAUGUCCGAACAGCAGUUCACCUUCAUGGCAAUCAAACUGGAAUGAACAAAGCUCUUACCAUUUGGAUUAACUCGUGUAAAGCAACUUUCAAAGAUUUGAUUUCAAUCGCUUUGGAUGUACGUAAAGCAAAUGUGGCUGAAAAGAUUUGCAACUAUUUGCAGCAAAACACAGGUUAUUUUCGUGGUUAUUUUCGUGCUCAAGCUGACCUCCACGAAAUGUUAACUUAAGCGUGGCUUACCGGAACAUAUAAAUGCAGUGCAGGCAACGAGACUAAACAAAAUUUAUACUCACGAAAAUCACCGUUCGCAUUAUACGAUUGCAGUGAAUCCAGUCUACAAAGUAGCCCACCACCCCCUAAACGACCAAGGCGUGACCCAAACAUGCGGUAGGAUUUUGAAUUAUUUGAAUAUGUACUAGCAGUAUCAUUAACUGCUGUCAAUUUUUUUGUGGCACUAUUUUAUUAUUGUUUUGCCAGGUCACUUUAUCUGAAUGUUAAUUUUGAACAAUUAUUAGCUAUAUUAUUUAUAUACCUUUUCCUUUAAAAAAGCGUGCACAUACCAUAAUUAUGUCUAUAUAAUUAUUAUAGUCUUUCUAGCUUGCUCAAGAUUUCACAGACUUAUACAUUAUAGCUAUAAUGUAUGUAUAAUCAUUAUACAGUAGUUCAAUUUUUUCAUGACCACUUUAGUUAUUGUAAUACGCCUCGUUCCAGGCCAAUUUUUCUAUAUCAAGCAUCAGCACAAUUUA